AAUUCGCAGAUCACUUCACAGGGCAACAGAUGUGCUCCACGCCCAUUCAGCUGAGGCAGAGGGAGAGAGAAGGGGUGGAAACUUUAGACAGUCUUGUACACCAGUCGAGAAAUACUUGUUGCUUCUCAGCAUUCGUUGUUGUCGGCUGCAUCCAGAAUUAGUGAUUCACCAUGACAACUGAAGGUCCAAAAUACACAUACAGUACAUCAAGUGUCAUGACAACCACAGCAGGAGUAGCUGGAAUAGAACCUACCAUGGCACCUGUUCAGGCCAUCACACAACUCCUCCAGACUGCAGGAAUCCCUUUAAUCCUUGAAACAACUGAAGCACCUCUACGGGGAUUCACCGGCAGACAUACAAGUGAAACAACCGCCGUCACCAUCAUGGACCCAGAUCUAUUUGCUCCUCCUAGCACCUGGGAGGGUGGUGGAAGUAUCACGUCUGAGUAGGAGAGACUACAAUGACACACAUUCAGCUGAUUAUGACAAAGUCCCACAGCCAAGGUGCCUCUGUGGAUGAAUCGUCAUUUUAUGUUCUUGGAGGGGUAAUUGCUGCAGUUGCAGUGUUGUUGCUGUGUAUAACCGUUUUGGGGCUACAGUACAUGUUCAAGCACAAGGGAUCAUACCUCACCAACGAGGAAGAUGAGUAUGAGUCCAUUGAGAACACUGACAUAGAACUUCAAAAGGACACAGACCUACUGGAAGCUGUGGGUGAACAGUAAAAGAAACUGAAAACUCAGUGUGAUAUUGGUCUCAGACCCCACAUUUGUGUGACAUUUGUGAAAUAGCUGCAUAAAAAACUGAGGUAAAAUGUGUUUGCUGGAGAUCUGUGAACCAUCCAUCAAACGUUAUUUUGGGGAAGGGAGGGGGGUGUUGGAUAUUGGACUUUGACUUUGUUUAUUGGCCAGUUGACAAUGUAUGACAUUUUAGAAAGGUCAUUCUCUGCUCUUUGAUGCAAACAGUGAAUCAAUUGUCAUGAUAGUUCACACGGUUGUACAUCAUGACAUUAAUCAAGCAUAUCUGCCAGAUACUGUAUGUUUUCAAUAUUGACAGCACUUAAAACAUCUGUGAAACUUCAGUGAGUUUUGUGUUUCUUCAGAAAAAUGUUUGUAAGAUUAUUUUGUUUGGCUAUGUAAAAGCUCUUUUAAAAGACAUUUGGUAUACAAAGACAGAUUGAACUAAAUGUGACAAUUCUCAAGGAACCAGAUGACUGAUUUAGUAGAGCCUGCCAGAUAUUGAGAUAAUGGAGGCAGACAAUGUUCAUAGACUGUCAGAAGGGAAGAUUUCAAGUCAGUAAAAACAUGAGAUGGUACACCUAACAGGGUCACAAUAUUUGUUUUCAACCUAACUAAAUAUAUGCAAUCCUAACCUAGCAAUUUACCCUUUUCAUAUUUUCAUACUUAGAACUGUAUUAAACUGUAUUCUAUGAUUAGAACUUUCUCUCUAGAACUAAAGAGCAUUUCUUUCAAAUGCCCAAAGAAAAAUAUCUGAAUAAAGAACUAUAGCACUGUA